rfam:Picea glauca, whole genome shotgun sequence.
CUAUCCUAAGAUAUGGGGAAUCCUUGUAUCAAGGGUGCACUCUGCAUGAACAUUGAAAGAUAAUUGGGUUGAUAUUCCCGAACCAGGACAUGGUGGUGGACGACAUAGUUAGGAAAUCUGGAGAUGUCAUCAGGGGCCUGGGAAGAGUUAUCGUUUCUUUUUAAUGACUUUCCCACCCUGAAAUUGAGUCAACUGGAGAUAGGGUCCAACAUAUGAAAGAGAACCACAUGUCUUGCGGUGUUUGGUGACCCCUUGAUGGCCAUUGUAAAUAUGGUGAACCGAGUACCAUCCAUGCCCAAUCGUACUCAUAUCUGCUUCCUUGGAUUUUUCAAUGUCCACUAGGUUAGCGAUCU